rnacentral:rRNA from 1 species
CCUACGGGCGGCAGCAGUGAGGAAUAUUGGUCAAUGGGCGAGAGCCUGAACCAGCCAAGUCGCGUGAGGGAGUACUGCCCUAUGGGUUGUAAACCUCUUUUGUCGGGGAGCAAAAGCCGGACGUGUCCGGCUGUGAGAGUACCCGAAGAAAAAGCAUCGGCUAACUCCGUGCCAGCAGCCGCGGUAAUACGGAGGAUGCGAGCGUUAUCCGGAUUUAUUGGGUUUAAAGGGAGCGUAGGCCGCAUGUCAAGCGUGCUGUGAAAUGUCCGGGCUCAACCCGGGCCUUGCAGCGCGAACUGGCGUGCUUGAGUCCGCGGAAAGCAGGCGGAAUUCGUCGUGUAGCGGUGAAAUGCUUAGAUAUGACGAAGAACCCCGAUUGCGAAGGCAGCUUGCUGCAGCGGAACUGACGCUGAUGCUCGAAAGCGCGGGUAUCGAACAGGAUUAGAUACCCCAGUAGUC